AAUUUUUAAAUAUUUUAUUUUAAAUUAAUUUUUUACCAUAAUAUAAUGACAAACUUAAAUAUCUCGCACGAGUCUUUAAACUAGUAAAUAAUAAAAUAACAUACAUACUAUUUUCUCAAGAUCCAACAAAAUAAAUCAUGACCAAAUAUUUUAUUAAACCCGACUCUGAUGUUACAAUAUCAGAGAUUACAACCAAAUUUAAACAUAAAAAAUAAUUUAACAAAUAUUAAAGAACAACAUGUCUUAGAAGAGAGAAUAUAACUCUUCACUUUAUUCUUGUGGACAAAUGUCUUGAUACUACUUCUCAAUUGUAUGGUGGGCUGCAUAUAAACGGAGAAAAACAUUAUAGAGUGAAAUAACAAUUGCAAUAUAGUAAUGGAUAAAAACGAACACACAAAUACAUUUGAAACAUAAACAUGUGUACAUGUCUACAUACACUACGACUAAUAUAGAUUUUCUUUUUGCUGGAAUUAAUUUAGAAAUGUUACAAAAAUAGAUAAAUGAUUUUUAUACAGCUCAUGUUAAUUAGGGUCAAACCUCAAAUAUAUACGUGAUGAUCAAUUAAUAUACAAAAAAUAUCACAUUAAAGGGUAACAACAUUAUAUCACGAGCAAAGAAAAUGUACGGAUAUAAUAGAGAAAUAUUAAAUUUCUUACAAUAGAUUUUUACAGAUACCCUUGAAGCACACCUGUGCUCCACUAGGAUUAUCCGGAUAUAACGUAAGACAAUCGGAGUCACGAACACAUUCUUCUGUAAUGUAAAAUAAGAAUAAAUAAAUAUUAAUAAAAUGAGUGAAAUAUUAACAAAAAAAAAACUUGAGAAUGAACUUACUUUUACCAAAGGUUAGAACAAGAAAUAGGAAAACAAAAAGAAUCACAUUAUAAACAAACAUGAGAGUUUUAACCAUUUUUUCACCUUUACAUGUAAAAAAUAUAAAAUAGUUUGAUCAUUUUAUAGAGUAAAAGACCUCUUGCUUUAUGUCAAUUAAGUAGUUUUUAAUUAUUAUGUUGUUACAAGAAACCCUUCUUUAAAUUAGAAUAAUUAUUAAAUGUCUGUAAAAAAUAUAUAUAAAAUGAUGAAUAUUUGCCCUUUUAGCUUAUAGAAUAGAUCUCACAAAACAAUUUUGUUUGAAAUUAGAAUUCUUGUUUGCCAACCAUUUAUUAAUUUUUAUUUCUUAUCUAACCUUUCAUAAUAGUGAGGGGAAAACUAACAUUAUUAUUAGGAGCUUCUACGGUACAUUCGAAUAAUUUGAAUGUACUAGUACAUCAAGUCAAUAAAUUGAAAAAUUAGCGAUUUUUUUAUGAAUUAAAAAACUAUUCGCCAAUAUAUUAUUGUAUUUUAAAAAUAAUAAUAUCACAAGAAAAAACAUAAUUUUAUUUUUUAUAAGCAUUAUACUAAUUUUUCUAAUAUUGUUUUUUAAAAAAUUCAAUAUUGACUAUUAUGAUGAAUAAAAAUUCAAAAAAUAUUGAAUUUAUAUUUUGACAGUUUUUGAUGAAUAAUAUGUAGUUACUAUAAUUAUUUUAAUAAUAAAAAAAAUGAUUUACUUUAAAACAUAUUUAUUUAUCUAUUAAUUUAAUUAUCUAGUACCAUUACAUUAGAAAUUAGUAUAUGCACCAUGGAUUUGCUUUAUUAUUAUGUUGGCAUGACUGAAAAUCGACCCACAUAUUUUGAAAGUCUCGUGCUCAAAUUUUGUGAUUAAAUAAAAUUUAGUUAAAGCAGUAGACCCCACUUAAGAUGUACAAAAUAUUAAUCAUUCAUAAAUAAUGGAUAUUUUGUACAUGUAUCAUGGUGAUUAGGAUUUUGGUCCUAGACUCGUUUGUAAUGGUACACUACAAAAAUAUAUUCUUAAAUUACUUCCCAUAAUUCCAAGAUGAAGAGAAAAAAAUACUCACACAUGAAAAUGCCCGGUGAGUACCAAAAAAUAAAAUAAAAACAGUAAACUCAAGACAAUAAAGUAAAGAAAACUUAGAAUAAAAUUACAAGAACCUUUAGAAAGAAUUAUAAGCAGGGGCGGAUCCAGUGUUAUGCGAGGGUGUGCACCUGCACACCCUGAACUUUUAAAAAUUCCACAUAAUAUCUUAUUUAUUUAAAUUUUGCACCCCCUGAAAUUUUAUUUUUGCACCAAGCACACCAAUUUCUUCUUAUCUGAUGGUGCAUCAUGGGGACGCGUAGUAGUGUAUCAUGGGGACGCGCAGUAUUUAAUUCGUCAUUAUGACUCCAACUUGUUGGAAAGACUGCCAUAGUUAUGCUUUCAGUCUUUUCAUUUCAUUUAUUUAUUAUUUAAUUUGUUUAUUAUCUCUUCAACUUUUUCCAUUAAUUCAUAGAUAAAUAGAUAAAUUGCAAAAAUGUGGCCAGCGGGAAUCGAUGACAGCUUAUGAAGUCCGCAAAUUUGGACUUUGCCACUGAGCUAAAGUAACAUAUGUUAAACCUAUUCGCAUACUAAAUACAUAUUAUGUAAUAACUUCAUAUAUAUAAUUAUUAAUUUAAUAGAAUAAAUAUUAUAGUAAUAAUAUUUAAUUGAAAAAAAAAAUUUGCACCCCCUGACCUAGGGUCCUGGAUCCGUCACUGAUUAUAAGAGUCGCAUUGCAGUGGCUGCACUUAUCCUCAAACAGAGGCAGCGCUGAAACUGCUUUGGUUAAAUAAAGUGCCAUCAAAAGUUUGUAUUUUCGGUUGACGGUUGUUACUAAAAGAAAUUACCGACGAAGGAAGCCUUAUAUGAAAAGGAAUUAUUACUAAUACUCAUGAAAAGAGUUGUGUUUUUUGCUUCAAGGAGGUAGAGAAAGUUCAAUAUAAGAUGACUUUCUUUGAAUAGUAAAUUCCAACAUUAAGGGAUAAUCUCUACCACCGCAAAUCAAGCCUUGGACUUUAAGUCACCAUAAUCUGCAUCAAACUCAUUCUUUUCUUAUUAUAUAUUAUCCACUUAAUUUAUUCGUACCUAACAAAAAGAAAAAAAAAACAAGUAAAAUAUUCUAAUAAACUUCAAAAAAAUAUUUAAGAUAUUUUGGUCUCUUAAGUUUUUAUCGUUAUUUUUUAUUUAGUACAUUUUUAUCGUUAUAUUUUAUUUUUGUAAGUUAUGAAUGCUGAACACUAUGGUCCUUUAAAAUACAAAAAAAUAAAUAAAUUUGGAGACCAAAGUGAAACCUAAAUACAAAAAAUAAAAUACAUUGAUUUCAGAUUCUUAUAUAUGUACUCAUAAUAAAUCAUUUAAAAUAAAAUCUAUUGACUUCACAGUCUUAUAAAUGUAUUCAUAAUAAAAUAGUAACAUGCAUACUAUUUUCUCAAGAUCCAACAAAAUAAACAUGACCAUAUUAUUAAACCCAACUCUAUGUUACAAUAUUCGUGCCUUACAUCCAAAUUUAAAAAUAAAAUAUAAUCUAACAAACUUUAAAGAACACCAUAUAUAUCUUUUUAGAAGAGAGAACAUAACUCUCCACUUUAUUCUCGUAGAAAAACACCUUGAUACUACUACUCAGUUGUAUGGUGGGCUGCAUA
rnacentral:lncRNA from 1 species